rnacentral:rRNA from 1 species
GUCCAUGCCGUAAACGAUGAAUGCUAAGUGUUGGAGGGUUUCCGCCCUUCAGUACUGCAGCUAACGCAUUAAGCAUUCCGCCUGGGGAGUACGACCGCAAGGUUGAAACUCAAAGGAAUUGACGGGGGCCCGCACAAGCGGUGGAGCAUGUGGUUUAAUUCGAAGCUACGCGAAGAACCUUACCAGGUCUUGACAUCUUCUGCCAACCUAAGAGAUUAGGCGUUCCCUUCGGGGACAGAAUGACAGGUGGUGCAUGGUUGUCGU